rnacentral:rRNA from 1 species
UACAGAGGGGGCAAGCGUUGUUCGGAAUUACUGGGCGUAAGGGGCGCGUAGGCGGCCUUCUAAGUCGAACGUGAAAUCCCCGGGCUCAACCCGGGAACUGCGUCCGAUACUGGAAGGCUUGAAUCCGGGAGAGGGAUGUGGAAUUCCAGGUGUAGCGGUGAAAUGCGUAGAUAUCUGGAGGAACACCGGUGGCGAAGGCGACAUCCUGGACCGGUAUUGACGCUGAGGCGCGAAAGCCAGGGGAGCAAACGGG